rnacentral:lncRNA from 1 species
GACUUCCUAUUGGGAGGGGCAAGGCAGGGGCAGACCUGGAAUCCCUUGAUGAGCAUCUCGUCAGACAACCCCUGUGAAAGGAUGGUUCGAAUCCAAAGGGGUCAUGACCCACAGGUUGUGAACUGCUGGUCUAGAGGUAACAUUUGGAGUGAGAACACUGGUUCUUCUGACUGGCAGCUAUACGGACAGAGCCUUCAUCCAGCAGCUGGUGGAAGUAGAAGCAGACACCCACAACUAAUCACCGAACUGAACUGGAAUCCAGAUACAGAGAAGGAUGAGUGAAGAGCACAGGGGUCCAGACUAGGCUGGUGAAACCCACAGAAACAGCUGACCUGAACAUCCAGGAACUCUUGCUCCCCAGACUGAUAGCUGGAAUACCAGAAUGGGACUGAUCCAGACCCCAGGAACAUGGGUUUCUGUGAGGAAACCUCAGAAAUCUACGGGACCUCCUGUAGAAGUUCAGUACUUAUCCCUAUCAUUGAUGUGGACUUUGGGAGCCCAUUCCAUAUAGAGGAAUACUCCCUGAGCAAAGACACAUAGGGGUGGGCCUAGGCCCUAUCCCAAAGGAUACAACAGACUCUGA